UUAUGUCAACAUCCUAAGCUCGAACGUGCCCGAAGGCCGGCCAUAAAGGCGAGCUGCAGUCCUCAGUCUCACCCAGUGUAUGUGAUAAUAGGCUAUAACACUUCCGGAGAAGUCACAUUCCUACUACCUUUAUCCACCGGACAAAACUGAUGUUGACCCGUUCCAAGGAAGUAGACCAGCAGAACUGGCUGAAUCCAAAGAACACGACUGACUUCAAUCGUUUCCCUUUCAACAAUUUCACGUACUGUUUAACUCUCUUUCCAAAGUGCUUUUCAUCUUUCCCUCACGGUACUUGUUCGCUAUCGGUCUCUCGCCAAUAUUUAGCUUUAGAUGGAAUUCACCACCCAUUUUGAGCUGCAUUCCCAAACAACUCGACUCGUAGAAGACGUAUCACAGAGCACCGGUGGUCGUGUUAAGUACGGGAUUAUCACCCUCUUUGAUACUCCUUUCCAGGAGACUUGGACACGGUCCGGCACGGAAAACGCCUCUAUAGAUUACAACUCGGACAAUCGAAGACUGCCAGAUUUCAAAUUUGAGCUCUUCCCGCUUCACUCGCCGUUACUAGGGGAAUCCUUGUUAGUUUCUUUUCCUCCGC
rnacentral:rRNA from 1 species